CACUUACAAUUUGGUUCGUCGUUCAUUUCUUUCACAAUUCGACUACAGCAGCGAUACAACAUGAAAUUUCGGUGCGUGGGCAUUUUCAUUGGAUUUUCACAUUCCAAUUUUAAAAUCAGGCAUUUUCCUUGAAUUUUCUGUGCUCAUUAACAGCUACACAUUCAAGCUGGAAUAAUGCGAAACGAUGCAAUGGUAGAAUGAGCGAUAUGAAUCGAUAAAUCGUGGUUUGAAGUCACCCGCGAAAUGGAACCCAAUGGAACCAACUCAGGCAAUGUGGCAUCACAAGCGCAAGCACAUGCUGACAUGGAUACUAGAAACACACGCAGGGGCAAAUAAUGUGCGGGUAGUGCGAGCAUGCCAGUUAAAAUAGGUUGAUGGUUUGGAAAAAACGCUCUGUUUCAAAUAUGGGUCACCACAUGUUCGAAUAAUAAUCGCAAUAAAAAUUUCAACAACAUCACAAA